UAUUUCAUGUCAUGCCUCAUAGGAUGAAGAUGAAGAAAUUCAAUUCAAUUAAUUGAAUUUAAAUUUUUUUCUAAUAUCAGCUUAUAUCUGGAUAUCCCCUGACUCCACUUUUGCGACCACUGCUGGACAAAUUUGGCACCAUUACCUCACUAUAGGACCCAUGUUGCGUCCAGAACCACAGAGCUUCACCUGAAAUCUUUGUUGGAUGACACCUAGUGGUAAAAGUCAGCAAACCUGCAGUUGUAUCUUCAGGAGAACAUCCCCUAAACUAAAUAGACAGUAUUUAUAUAUGUCAUUAUCAGUAUGUAAAUAAAUGAGUGUUAAAUAUAAGUGAAAGUAACAAUGGGAUACAUUCAUCACCCAGAACCAAAAAUGUUGAUGUUUUAAUUGACUUUGAAUUAUUUGUGCUGGACGUUUUGUCUCCAUCAAACUAAAGAAAACUAUUUGCUCUGGAAAUGGUUCAUUAUUUUCUCUGCCAUGAUGAUUAUGUUUCUUAUUCUGUUACCAAAUGUUUGUUAAGAGGUUUUAGUGGCACUACUGAAAAUUUGAAUAUAAACCAAAGAAAUGAUCUUC